UAAUACGGAGGGUGCAAGCGUUAAUAGGAAUUACUGGGCGUAAAGCGCACGCAGGCGGUUUGUUAAGUCAGAUGUGAAAUCCCCGAGCUUAACUUGGGAACUGCAUUUGAAACUGGCAAGCUAGAGUCUUGUAGAGGGGGGUAGAAUUCCAGGUGUAGCGGUGAAAUGCGUAGAGAUCUGGAGGAAUACCGGUGGCGAAGGCGGCCCCCUGGACAAAGACUGACGCUCAGGUGCGAAAGCGUGGGGAGCAAACAGGAUUAGAUACCCUGGUAGUCCACGCUGUAAACGAUGUCGACUUGGAGGUUGUGCCCUUGAGGCGUGGCUUCCGGAGCUAACGCGUUAAGUCGACCGCCUGGGGAGUACGGCCGCAAGGUUAAA
rnacentral:rRNA from 1 species